AUUGAACGCUGGCGGCAGGCUUAACACAUGCAAGUCGAGCGGGGUGAUGGUGCUUGCACUAUCACUUAGCGGCGGACGGGUGAGUAAUGCUUAGGAAUCUGCCUAUUAGUGGGGGACAACAUCUCGAAAGGGAUGCUAAUACCGCAUACGUCCUACGGGAGAAAGCAGGGGAUCACUUGUGACCUUGCGCUAAUAGAUGAGCCUAGGUCGGAUUAGCUAGUUGGUGGGGUAAAGGCCUACCAAGGCGACGAUCUGUAGCGGGUCUGAGAGGAUGAUCCGCCACACUGGGACUGAGACACGGCCCAGAAUCCUACGGGAGUCAGCAGUGGGGAAUAUUGGACAAUGGGGGGAACCCUGAUCCAGCCAUGCCGCGUGUGUGAAGAAGGCCUUAUGGUUGUAAAGCACUUUAAGCGAGGAGGAGGCUCUUUUGGUUAAUACCCAAGAUGAGUGGACGUUACUCGCAGAAUAAGCACCGGCUAACUCUGUGCCAGCCGCCGCAGUAA
rnacentral:rRNA from 1 species